rnacentral:tRNA from 1 species
UCCGAUAUAGUGUAGUGGUUAUCAUACCGCGUUUUCAUCACUGGAAACGUGCCGCGGGGACCGGGGUUCAAUUCCCCGUAUCGGAG